rnacentral:SRP_RNA from 11 species
AUCCGCCCACCAACCGGCCUUUGCCAGGAGUUUUUUGGGCGUUCCUUUGAAAGCAGUAUCUGCUUACUCCAUCUGGUGGCGCGGAUCGGGCAAGGCUGGGAGGAGUGACCAGAGCA